GUUGGUUUCGAAUUCAGAGUUUGUGGAAUUUAUUAAUUUUGUUUGAAUUAAGUUUUAUGCCUGUUUCCUCCUCCCAUCCCCCACGAUGCCUUUUUGCUCGCCACUCACCCUUCUUCGCAUCACUGGUCAACACCGAAGACAUGUUCAGCGCGAGCAUCACUUCAUUGUAGCGAAACCGCUGGUUUUCUUGGAGACAAGCUACGAAAUCAUCAGAGAAGGCGACGAGUGCUUCAAUCCGAUGACGCACCUGGCAGUCACACAGAAAACCGGCUGGUGGCAUCCUCCUCUCGCAGGCGUUACCGUGGAGACGAACGACACCAGAUAAGGAGCGGAAAGUUACCAUCCCGGCCCAGGAUCUGACUGCGGGAGGGCAGCCACUAUUACCAUGGACCCAUACUUAUAAAAACCUUG